UGGUGCGUCCACUCUACCCUGAACACGCCUGGUCUCGUCUGAUCUCGGAAGAAACGCAGGGACACUCACAGUGGUGCUACGCGUCAG
rnacentral:rRNA from 1 species